GCCAGAAAAGGCUGGAGAGAAGAAACCACAGGGAGUGAAAAGGCUCCUGCAGGAGUCCCUGAAGGACAGGAUGGAGAAGGAAUUGCAGGAGAUAGUGAACGCUCCUGCAAGGGUUCCAUGGAAGAAAGCCCUGCUAAUUUAACCUGGGAUCUGAAAGUCAAGCUGUGUUCUGAUGUAUCACUAACAGCAACCCUAACCAAGUGAAGAGUAUUAUACAAACGUGUUCCUGUGCAUCUUGAGGAUUUAUCUUUAAUCUUGUAGAAUCCUGGGCUAAUUAUCAGUUGGAAGAAAAAAGAACCAUAGCCGAGAGUUAAAAUCCUAUUUGGGAAGAAACCAAAAUAUACUUCGGAGUCUUCAGCACUGCAUUGAGUUUUACCAUUCUUCAAAGGCUUAUGUAAGGGUUAGGGUGACUUAUAGUACUGUACUCUGAACUAUACUAGAAAUAUAGUGAAUGUGUCUCUCUGGAAUGUUUAGCUUCUUUAGGAGGUCCAUCUAGAUUGUUAACUGCUCUGUAUCUUCAACUGUAAAUAAAAUGUUCUCUUCUCCUCACUCCAUCUCACCCUUCUAGCACAGUUUAAAUGCUUUUACAUUCCUGUCCUUCACUGAACAGUCAAGUUCCAGUCUUGCAGUCUGGAUUAAGACUAUUUUAACUGAAAUAAAUAAGAUUUCUUGCAUGAGUAAAUAUUAAUUACCCGAGUAAAGGUAGCAGCAAAAUUUGGCCUAACUCUGCUGUUAUUGAAGUCAAGCUCAUAUUUAAAGGAAAACCAUUUGUCAGUUGAUUUUGAUAGGAACAGAGGGCUAUGUUGAGUGCUUUUGAAAAUCCUUCCCUUAGUCAAUGAAUGACCAAUUAUUAUUCCGCUACUUUCCAAUAGUAGUUUCCAAGAGUGUAUUGUUACAAUUCCCAAUCAAACUCCUCUUUUUUUUUUUUUUGAGUUACUUGUCCAGUGUUGCUUAUCUUUUAUCAGGAUGUCAGAGGAUAACAUCUAUUUCUUCCCUAGAAGUGAGAGAAGACUAUCGGCACUUUUGCUGCUGCUAUUGAUUAUUAGUGACCUUUCCUCUGGAACUCCACUUAAUCCCCAAAACAUUUAUUUUUAAAAAUGUAGAACUUACUUUGUUAACCAUGAAAGUAUUCUGUCCCAUCAUGCAUUCAAAUGACAGCAGCAUUCACUGUCCUUGUCUACAGUAAAUCACUAGUCUUGAGCUUCUGGGAAGUAUCCCUUAAACAGAAGCUUUCACAAAGAGAGCAAUCUUCACUACAGUAAGAAGACAGUUAAGCAGUGACAGGUUUUUCCAUAACCUGCUUAGAAAAAAAAUCUACAAAAUAUGGACACAUUCUUUAGCAAAUAUGUAUUUAAUUGAAGUAUUAUACUACGGUUUUCCUUUCCCUAUAAAAAUAGAAUAUACCUAUGUUCUAAAAUGUGUAGAUCUUAUGUUAAAGAGGUAAAUGACACACUGCUUAGAAUUCUUUCGGUUUGUUGUGGUUCAAAACUCUUCCAAGAUAUUGUCAUGUUUUAAAUUAUUCACAAGUGUUCUGGGCCAAAUUCAUUACUGCAGUUACCCAACUGAAUUAAAUGAAGAUACACCAGAAAUUCUUAGUCAUUUAUCUCUAAAGGUGCAGGGAAUGAGACAAAAAUUGACUUCAGUGGUGUUCUGCUAAUUAAUUAUUAUUUGCAUUGCGGUAGAAUCCAGGAGCCCAUUGUGCAAGAGUGUACAAACACAGAACAAAAGAUGGCCAUCACAACAACCUUUUAAGGUUAUUUUAUAAUUGCUCUAUGUUGCCAAUGUUCUCUCUUCACCAAGGAAGACCCAGUCUCUGAUCUUAGGAGGAUACACACCUGCAGAGACAAUUAUUUCUUUCACAUUCCUGAAAACUUUGCUGUUCAGGUUAUUUCCUACCUUUCAUGAGCGUGUGGUGUGUAGUGUUUUUGUUUGUUUUUGUUUUUUUUCUCCAAUAUUCUGUUCAGUGUAUUGGGUGAAAUACUUCUGAUCACUUGAAACAAAUGUAGUAUAAUGUAAGCAGCCUUAGAUGUUUGUUUCCUCAUUUCAAAACAAGAAAGGUAAUUUGAAAAAUAUAUUGGGUUUUGAUGUCAUGCUCACCUCUUACAGGCAGAUACUUAUGAACAACAACAUCUUUUUUUAUUAAAUAAGAUGAAUGGGAAUAUUGGCAAACAUGAGAUCUGUAUUAAAAACAAAGGAAUCUGGGUGGGUGUUCAUCCUUAUCUCACCCUCUUUUAUAACAGUUAACAUCACUGAAGGAUGGUGUGGGUGCUUAGAUCUUUAGCACUAACUCUAAAAGGAUUUAAGGCACUUAAUCCAAAGAAUGUUUGCAUAAUGUGCUUUAAUUACUAUUUCAUUUACAAAAGUGUUUUCCCUACUGUUGUGUGCAGUUAAGGAGGGCCCUGUAGGUUGCCACCAGUGCCACUUGUUUUCUCCACACAUCAACCUCACUAUAGAACUUGAGGUUUUCAUUUUCCUGGGCAGAAAAUGAUAUUCCUUCAUUCUCAGAAAUGCACAUGGAGCAUCUAACCACUAGGUCACUCCACAACUGAGUGUUUUCAAAGAAUGACAUCACUAAUUAGAAUGCAGUGAUGUAACCAUGUCAGUCCCAAGAUAUUAGAGAGAUGAGGUGGGUGAAGUAAUGUCUUUUGGCUGGAUCAACUUCUGUCUCUCUCACCAACAGAAGUUGGUCCAGCCAAAGACCUCUUGUCUCUCUCCUAUCAUUUACUAACAUUUAGUGAUCUUUAGUAAUUCCCCAGCUGUAACUAUAGCUGGGUGGUAAGAGAGCAAGGCCAAAGUAAACCUAAUUCUGGAAUCUUAGUGUUAUGCAGCAAGACCUUGGACCUUGCUGGGACUAGUUAAUUUUUAAUACUAUGGUACUGCCUGGGUUGAUCCUGUGUUCUUUCUCUGGAUUGAAUGCUUGUGUUGCAUGUAAGUGUAGUGAAACUGAAAGAAUGUGCACUUUCAAAUGCACAUUUUAAGAGAGCCCAUGUGCAACAGGAAGAGCCACUGUUUUAAUACCAACGUUCAUUUUAUUUCCCUGUGUCUAACCACAAAUGGAAGAAUCCUACUUGUUGGGAGCACUGUUCAUCUGUGGAUCUCAUCUCAUCUUAUCCAACUUUGUCAAGCACUUUGAACCUGGAAAUACAUGCAUGUGAUGGUGUGACUGUAUAAGUGAAGGGAUUUGGAGUAAAAUUGCUUUCAUGUU